AACUGAGAACUGAAUAUUUUCAAUGCAUGUUUGAGCCUCAUUUCCAUUUAAGGCUCCUCAUUAGGCCACAGAUGCACCACGGACCUGUUCUUCCUUUUGAGCUGGCACAGCCCAAAGCCCCAUUAGCGGUAAUGUGCACCAGUGGGACUCCAGGGAGAGGAAGAGGGCUGAAAGGGCUGGAGUUCCUGCUCCAAUUUUUAAAGAAAAGAAGAGAAUAAAAGGCCCAUAAAACUCAGAAACACUUCUUCCCUUGGCUCAUUCACAUGGAAAUGCAAGGCUGAUGAUUAUGGACAAGGAGGUGAUGGCCCCAGGAGCAGGGGUCAGGGUGACCUCCAGCUCCUCGACUCCAGCCUUGUGUGCACCAUCAGGGUUCACCCCCAAGCCACCAGUGCCAAGUGGAAAAACUUUAUUGUCGUGUCUUUGGACGCUUGGCAGGAAGUAGCAUGGGUGUUUCAAUUAUUAAACUAAUAAGCACUCGACCUUGGCCAGCCCUUUCUGGUGCACGUACUCCUAAGAGUUGGGUGCUGGGAAGAUUCCUCAUCAUGCAUGAGGUGCCCCUUUGAUUGCUAGACUCAUGAUACGGGGCAGAACGAGGAUAGCUGUGAUGACUUUGGCAGUGGCUCUCCAAGAUUCUUCCAAAGGGGGAACCAACCUCCAAGUCCAGCCCUCUUCUUCAGGGAAACUUCGCUCCUCACUGUGCUUCAAGAUGACCUUUGGCUUCAAACAAAAAUGUGGCGAGCUGGCUCAGAGGUCAACUAUGAGCUGA
rnacentral:lncRNA from 1 species